UACGUAGGGCGCAAGCGUUGUCCGGAAUUAUUGGGCGUAAAGAGCUCGUAGGCGGCUUGUCGCGUCGGCUGUGAAAACCUGGGGCUCAACCCCGGGUCUGCAUUCGAUACGGGCUAGCUAGAGUGUGGUAGGGGAGAUCGGAAUUCCUGGUGUAGCGGUGAAAUGCGCAGAUAUCAGGAGGAACACCGGUGGCGAAGGCGGAUCUCUGGGCCAUUACUGACGCUGAGGAGCGAAAGCGUGGGGAGCGAACAGG
rnacentral:rRNA from 1 species